GACGAACCGUACGAACGUUAUUCGGAAUCACUGGGCUUAAAGGGUGCGUAGGCGGCGCUGAAAGUUGGGUGUGAAAUCCCUCGGCUCAACCGAGGAACUGCAUUCAAAACUACAGUGCUUGAGGGAGAUAGAGGUGAGCGGAACUUAGGGUGGAGCGGUGAAAUGCGUUGAUAUCCUAAGGAACACCCGUUGCGAAAGCGGCUCACUGGGUCUCUUCUGACGCUGAGGCACGAAAGCUAGGGGAGCGAACGGG
rnacentral:rRNA from 1 species